rnacentral:rRNA from 1 species
GACGAACGCUGGCGGCGUGCCUAAUACAUGCAAGUCGAACGCAGUGGGGACGUGUGAGUAACACGUGGGUAACCUCCCCAUUAGAGGGGAUAACACUUGGAAACAUGUGCUAAACCGAUACUGAUGGAUGGACCCGCGGUGCAUUAGCUAGUUGGUGGGUUAACGGCUCACCAAGGCCACGAUGCAUAGCCGACCUGAGAGGGUGAUCGGCCACACUGGGACUGAGACACGGCCCAGACUCCUACGGUAGGCAGCAGUAGGGAAUCUUCGACAAUGGACGAAAGUCUGACCGAGCAACGCCGCGUGAGUGAAGAAGGUUUUCGGAUUGUAAAACUCUGUUGGUAGGGAAGCGUUAUCUAACCAGAAAGCCACGGCUAACUACGUGCCAGCAGCCGCGGUAAUAC